rnacentral:rRNA from 1 species
GCUGAGGAAAAGAAACCAACCGGGAUUGCCUUAGUAACGGCGAGUGAAGCGGCAAAAGCUCAAAUUUGAAAUCUGGUACCUUCGGUGCCCGAGUUGUAAUUUGGAGAGGGCAACUUUGGGGCCGUUCCUUGUCUAUGUUCCUUGGAACAGGACGUCAUAGAGGGUGAGAAUCCCGUGUGGCGAGGAGUGCGGUUCUUUGUAAAGUGCCUUCGAAGAGUCGAGUUGUUUGGGAAUGCAGCUCUAAGUGGGUGGUAAAUUCCAUCUAAAGCUAAAUAUUGGCGAGAGACCGAUAGCGAACAAGUACAGUGAUGGAAAGAUGAAAAGAACUUUGAAAAGAGAGUGAAAAAGUACGUGAAAUUGUUGAAAGGGAAGGGCAUUUGAUCAGACAUGGUGUUUUGUGCCCUCUGCUCCUUGUGGGUAGGGGAAUCUCGCAUUUCACUGGGCCAGCAUCAGUUUUGGUGGCAGGAUAAAUCCAUAGGAAUGUAGCUUGCCUCGGUAAGUAUUAUAGCCUGUGGGAAUACUGCCAGCUGGGACUGAGGACUGCGACGUAAGUCAAGGAUGCUGGCAUAAUGGUUAUAUGCCGCCCGUCUUG